rnacentral:rRNA from 1 species
GUCUGAACAUGGGGGGACCACCCUCCAAGCCUAAAUACUCGCACAUGACCGAUAGCGAACACAGUACCGUGAGGGAAAGGUGAAAAGCACCCCGAUUAGGGGAGUGAAACAGUACCUGAAACCGGAUGCUUACAAGCAGUUGGAGCCCCAUAGGGGGUGACAGCGUACCUCUUGCAUAAUGGGUCAGUGACUUAAUUUAUCGAGCAAGCUUAAGCCGUUAGGUGUAGGCGUAGCGAAAGCGAGUCUGAAUAGGGCGAUUCAGUCGCAUGUCCUAGACCCGAAGCGAAGUGAUCUAUCCAUGGCCAGGUUGAAGCACGUGUAAGAGCGUGUGGAGGACCGAACCCACUUAGGUUGAAAACUGAGGGGAUGAGCUGUGGAUAGGGGUGAAAGGCCAAUCAAACUUCGUGAUAGCUGGUUCUCUCCGAAAUGCAUUUAGGUGCAGCGUCGUGUGUUUCUCACCGGAGGUAGAGCACUGGAUGGCCUAGGGGGCCGACAAGCUUACCGAAGUCAGCCAAACUCCGAAUGCCGGUGAGUGAGAGCGCGGCAGUGAGACUGCGGGGGAUAAGCUUCGUGGUCGAGAGGGAAACAGCCCAGAUCACCGGCUAAGGCCCCUAAGCGUGCGCUAAGUGGGAAAGGAUGUGGGAUCGCCCGGACAACCAGGAGGUUGGCUUAGAAGCAGCCACCCUUGAAAGAGUGCGUAAUAGCUCACUGGUCAAGUGAUUCCGCGCCGACAAUGUAACGGGGCUCAAGCACGCCACCGAAGUUGUGGCAUUGACAUUAUUGGUAGGCCUUCGUGGUCCAGCCGUGUUGAUGGGUAGGAGAGCGUCGUGUGGCCAGCGAAGCGGCGGUGUAAACCAGCCGUGGAGGCUACACGAGUGAGAAUGCAGGCAUGAGUAGCGAAUGCAGAGUGAGAAUCUCUGCCGCCGGAUGACCAAGGGUUCCUGGGCCAGGUUGUUCCGCCCAGGGUGAGCCGGGACCUAAGGCGAGGCCGUCAGGCGUAGUCGAUGGACAACGGGUUGAUAUUCCCGUGCUCGUGAUAGUGCGUCCAUGCCGAGGCUGGUGAUGCUAACCAUCCGAACCCACCUUCGCUCCUUCGGGAGUGUUGUUUGUGGGGGAGCGUGGGAUCCGAUCUGGUAGUAGGCAAGUGAUGGGGUGACGCAGGAGGGUAGCUCCGCCACGCGGUGGUUGUCGUGGUGUAAGCCUGUAGCCCGAGUCCUAGGUAAAUCCGGGGCUCAUUAAAGGGUGAGAGGUGAUGCGUAGCCGAUUGAGGCGAAGAGAGUGAUCCCAUGCUGUCGAGAAAAGCCUCUAGCGAGUGCUGUUGCGGCCCGUACCCCAAACCGACACAGGUGGUCAGGUAGAGAAUACCGAGGCGAUCGAGCGAACUGUGGUUAAGGAAUUCGGCAAAAUACCUCCGUAACUUCGGGAGAAGGAGGGCCGGU